rnacentral:rRNA from 1 species
GGGGAAUUUUGGACAAUGGGCGAAAGCCUGAUCCAGCCAUGCCGCGUGUAUGAAGAAGGCCUUCGGGUUGUAAAGUACUUUUGUUAGGGAAGAAAAGCUUGUUGCUAAUAUCAGCAAGCCAUGACGGUACCUAAAGAAUAAGCACCGGCUAACUACGUGCCAGCAGCCGCGGUAAUACGUAGGGUGCAAGCGUUAAUCGGAAUUACUGGGCGUAAAGCGAGCGCAGGCGGUUAUUUAAGUCAGGUGUGAAAGCCCCGAGCUCAACUUGGGACGUGCAUUUGAAACUGGGUAACUAGAGUGUGUCAGAGGGGGGUAGAAUUCCACGUGUAGCAGUGAAAUGCGUAGAGAUGUGGAGGAAUACCGAUGGCGAAGGCAGCCCCCUGGGAUAACACUGACGCUCAUGCUCGAAAGCGUGGGUAGCAAAC